UCGUCAGCUCGUGUCGUGAGAUGUUGGUUAAGUCCCGCAACGAGCGCAACCCCUAUUGUUAGUUGCCAUCAUUCAGUUGGGCACUCUAGCGAGACUGCCGGUAAUAAACCGGAGGAAGGUGGGGAUGACGUCAAAUCAUCAUGCCCCUUAUGACCUGGGCUACACACGUGCUACAAUGGUUGGUACAACGAGUUGCGAGUCGGUGACGGCGAGCUAAUCUCUUAAAGCCAAUCUCAGUUCGGAUUGUAGGCUGCAACUCGCCUACAUGAAGUCGGAAUCGCUAGUAAUCGCGGAUCAGCACGCCGCGGUGAAUACGUUCCCGGGCCUU
rnacentral:rRNA from 1 species